rnacentral:rRNA from 1 species
GUACAGAUGGUAAAGAUUGUUUUUCAUUUUUUUUUAAAGUGACAUCCUAGCAAAGCAUCUCAACGGAACCAGGAACAACAAACCAAAACAGGUGUCUAGCUCACGGAGAUUUUGGAUUCAGCACGGCCUUGCUGUCUUGCAAUCAUCAUCGGUGGUUACAAAGAAGUUACAAGAGCUGUCCUAAAAUUUACACAAGGACCCCUAGAAACUAAAAAUAAAAAGCAAUCAAGUCCUCCAUGUCCUCCAUUCGCAGCAACAGGUACUUCACCGCCGGCCUUCCUUCGCCUCGCCCUGCUCACCGCGCAGCUCGCCCGGCCCUACUCGCCGUGCCACCGGACAGCCACGCUCGCCCGCGCCGAUUGCCCGACCCUGGUAUCCGCACCGCCGCCCGGCCGUGCUCGCUGGAUCCUGGAGAGAGAGAGAGGGGGCCAUCGUCGCGCGCCAGUACAACGUCAGGCCGCUGCGCGCCGGAGGGACGAGGCCGCCGCGCGCCCGAGGGACGAGGCCGCCGUGCGCCUGUGCUCACCACCCGCGGGUCCGCCAUGCUCGUGCGUCGAAGGGACGAGGCCGCCGCGCGCCCGUGCUCGCCACCUGCGGGUCAGCCAUGCUCGCGCGCCGAAGGGACGAGGCCCCUGCGCGCCCGCGCUCGCCACCCGCGGGUCAGCCAUGCUCGCUGCCCGCGCGGCUGGGGGCAGGCGGGAGUGACGAGGGCUGGGGCCGAAGGUAGGCAGGGGCGAUGGGGGACGAGCCGAGGCCAGCGGCCGGUGGGGGCGACGGGGGACUCGCGCCGGGGGCCGGUGGGUGCGACGGGGGACUUGCGUCGGGGGCCGGCAGGGGCGAUGUGAUCGAGGAUGGUGAGGCAGAGGCCGGGAGGAGAGAUGGUCGGGGCGUGGGGGAGAGACGUACGAGAGGGAGUAGUGGUGG